UCGCCUCAAGAACAUUAAAUUCGCGAGCAUAUAGUCUCUGCUGGCGAACUAGUUUUCGGCGGACGAACCAAGCCACGCGGUCGGACAGCGCCACGAGAAGCUGACGCACGCUCACGGCGUCCCAGUUCGUCCCCUCCCUUUCGUUGAGUGCGGACGUGGUUUGUGUUUGACAGACAUUUUGGACCAUAUUGAGUGUACUUUUGCUAUUAUGGGACCGAAAAAGAGUUACAUACAGUCCUUAUGGAAGGUGACUCGUGUUACCAAUUCGCCCUCGACUGGUAAUUGGCGGUGCUUUCAGCUUCCCACCGUCAUGAGAAGUGGACCGGCGAGUCACGUUGGCUCGUUGUCGUCGGUUGUCUUCGGUUCGCCCGAUUUCCUCUCCAGAAAGGAGGCGGCGUGCAUACAAACACCCAGAGGCGUCGGAUGGCUUUUUGUGGGCACUUUUAUUAACAACCAAAAGCAUGUGGGGGGCACAGCAGUGGAGUCUACGCUAACUGCGCACUUUGCCGAUUUACCAUCCCUCUCUGGACUGUCGGACAUGGCCUAUUCACUCCAGGGUCCGAGUGUGCCUAACCUACAGGAGCUGAGUACAGUUCGGCAAGUACCGAUACCCCCAGAGCUGCAAAAGAAAUUCAGCAAUAUUCAGUCCAAAGACAGGGUGGGCAUUUUUCCUGAGAUUUCUCGGGCCUGGGUCACGAGCGACAAUGUUCUCUUCAUGUGGAAUUAUGAGGAUGGGGAAGACGUAGUUUAUUUCGACAACCUCAUCAAAAUCAUUUUGGCAGUUGGGCUUGUGAAACCAAAGCAAGGGAUUUUACAGCCUCACAUUAGUUACCUGCUUGUGUUGGCCACAUCUGUGGAUGUGACAAUCCUUGGACUGACCUUUCCAAGGGGCCAAGCUGGGCUGAACGACGGCAUGUUUGGCAGCCUACUGAUGUUGCCAGAACCCCUCUUUUCUAUCCCCACCAACACCGAUAUCAUCUCGAUUACUUCCUCUGACCUGGGUCGCAUCUUCAUGGCAGGCACGGACGGCUGCCUGUACGAGAUCGCCUACCAGGCGAAGGCGGGCUGGUUUAGUCAACGCUGCCGCAAGAUCAACCACUCCAAGAGCUUCCAGGCCUUCCUUGUCCCCUCUGUUCUCCAGUUCGCCUUCUCUGAUGACGACCCAAUUGUGCAGAUUGCUGUGGACAAUUCCCGCAACACGCUCUUUACUCGCUCUGAGAAAGGAGUCCUACAGGUCUAUGACCUGGGUGCUGACGGCCAUGGUAUGAGUUGUGUGGCCACCAUGUCUCAAAAUGUCAUUGUCGCAGCUGCAGCAAACAUUGACAGCACGAUCGAUCAUUCCAUCUUCAAGCCUAUUGUCCAAAUCUCAGUGAUCAGCAGAUCGGAGUCGUCUGACUGUCACCUGCUUGCUGUGACGCACGCAGGGGUGCGUCUGUACUUCACCACAACGCCUUUUGCCCCGCCACGACAUAAACACCUGCUGGCCCGACCAUCCCUUCUCUCUCUGGCUCACGUCCGCCUACCGCCAGGCUUCUCCAUGUCUUCCACACAGCAGAAACCAGCCAAUGUCCACAAGGUGCUGCACAGUAAAGGUGUUUUACUGAUGGCAGAUUAUGAGACGGAGAACAAUGACCUCCUUUGGUGCAUUAACCAUGACUCUUUCCCCUUCAAGAAACCUUUGAUGGAGACUCAGAUGAUCUCUCAUAUCGAUGGACAUAUAUUGGCUUUCAGCGCCAUCAGUGAGAAAAGGCCAGCCAAGAUAUGUACUCCCCUGAACAAGGAGGUGAUCCCAAUCACCGAUCCGCCUAUGGUGGUCUUGCAGCACAACAUCCCCUCUCAGAAAUUUGUCCUCCUUUCAACAAAGGGGAGUCACAUCUUUCAAAAGCUGCGUCCAGUGGAUCAGCUGCGUCACCUGCUUGUGAGCAGUGCGGGAGGUGAGAGCGAAGAGAUUGAGCGUUUCUUCAAGUUAGACAGGGGGAAGCAGGCCUGUGUGACAGCCUUGAUCCUGGCUUGUUCCAAAGCGGCUUGUGACGGAGUGGUCUCACAGUGGGCCACCAGAGCUUUCUUCAGAUAUGGCGAAGAAGCACAAGAGCAGAAAGAACCUGCAGCUUUGUCAGCGCCCAUCAAUGUUGGACCCGUAAUGCGCUCUCCUGCACCUGCAGGAAUUUUGCCUCUAUCCCUGGCCACGCCCAUUGCCCCGACGCAAAUUAGGUCCUUCCCCAUCACCCCGAUAUCAGUUUUCACCGGGAAGUACAACAGUAUCUGUGUCUACUUUGCUCGCAUCCUCGGAAACAUUUGGGAUGGUAGCCUAGCAGUGGAGAAAAGCAUCAGCCAAGGAAGUCAGACUGUCAGUCUUAUGGAAAGCAGUGUUUCUUCGCUUCAUCUGGAGUCAGUCCUUUUGGAUCUCUCAUGCUUGAAUGAAUUUCUGGACAAAAUCUCUCACUUCAGUCAGUCAUCCCUCAGCGGCGCAAGUUCCCCUGGCAACUGGCCGCAAAGACUGCUGGGAUUUAGGCCCAGCACUAGUUCUCAGGGAAUCCAACAGGAAUUUCAGAGAAAAUGUCAUUGCAAGGCUCCGCUCGAUGAGAAAGAGUCCCUGCAGAGCAUCCAGGCUCUAGUGCAGCUCUCCUAUCAAACUCUGGCCUUGUGGAAGCUUCUCUGCGAUCAUCAGUUCAGCCUCAUCAUAUCGGAACUGCCCAAAGAGUUUCAAGAGCAGAUUAAGUUAGCGAGUUUCAAAGAUGUGGUUAUCCGCGGGAAGGAGCUUUCAAGAGCCCUCAUCACAGCGCUCAUUACUGUCUACAUCAAACAUAAUGCCUCUGUAGAUGCCAUUAACAAUCACCUGCUGGACCUCUGCCCACUGCUCUACAGCACCGACGACAGUGUCUGCUUCAAGGCUAACAAAUUGCUGCAGAGCUCCAAGCAGAUCCAGAACAAAGCCGAUAAGGAGAUAACCCUGAGAGAGUCGCUACAUCUCUACCAGCAGAUCAGCCAGCACACUGACCUGCCGCUGGUUUGCUCCCAGUACAAACAAGAGCGUUUCUAUGAGGGCAUUCUCGAGCUGUGCCUCACGGCAGCCAACAAAAGAGACCCCCAUGGGCUGGGCCCACUUUUUUACAGAAAUGGAGAGCCUAAAGAGGACGAGACGGGCCAGCUGGCCUUCCAGGAAAGGCUAUCAUGUUAUAAGUGCAUCACGGACACCAUGCAGGAGCUAGUGAACCAAAGCAAAGGGGAGCCUCAGUCCCCCAGCGUCCCAAAGCAGCCGGGGCCUCCCGUUCUCACCUCAGAUCCUAAUAUGCUGAGUGAUGAGGAAGCAACGGCCCACUUUGAACAGAUUUUUGAUCUGGCCCAGAGGUCCCAAGACAAGCUGUUUCACAUCAUCCUCUACAAUUGGCUUAUUCAGGCCAAUCUAGCAGACAAGCUGCUCGAGGUGAAUUCACCGUACCUUGAAGAGCAUCUCAUUCAUAUUAUCAAACAGGAUCAGAGCAAGGUGCACAACAUGGAUGUUCUGUGGCGCUACUACCAGAAAAACCGCAACUUUGGCGAAGCUGCCCAUGUCUUGUCAUGCCUCGUUGACAUACAUAGCACUGAGAUUUCCCUCAAGCAGCGACUGGAAUACCUUGCACGGGCCAUUAUGUUUGCUAAGACCGCCUUCUGGAUCUCUGCUAAGGUGGCAGACAAAAAGCUUCUCCUUGAGCUGGAAAAGAAAAUGGAGAUGACUCUGGCCUUUUCCAAGUCCAUAAUGUGGUUUUCCCUUUUGCAGUGAUUGGUGAUGGCUGAGUUGUGAUGUUCCUGUUGUGCUUAUUCUUUCAUUGCCCUUGUUUGUCUUAUUGUUGUCUCCUCACAAUCCUUCUUGUGUUCUGUUUUUCUUGUAAUAAGGCUCCUCCUUGUCUGCCCGAUGUAUGAUUUAUUGCAUGAUUUGCAUGGAAUUUCAUAUAUGGAGUUACAUUUGUUUUCUGGGUGGAUUUUGUCCUUUGGAUGGACCAAUAUCUGGCGGAGUGUUGUGUGUGGUUCGACCGGUGUGUUUAUGUUGUAUUUUUUUAUGACUCUUUGGAUAUAUUCCGUGACUCCUCUCAUGUAUGGCAAGGUCACCAUAUCUCUGUUCUGGUUUGGUUUGUUUAUUCUUUCCCCCCUGUGUUGUGCUGUUCUUGUUUUUGACAUGUCUUGCACCUUUUACUAUUCCUGACUGUGGAUACUGACACCAUUUUAGUGCAUUUUGUAUUAGUUUUUCCUCCUGUGUUCUGUCAUCCGGGUCUGUGAUUAUUGUCAUACGUUCAUGUAAUGUUCUGACUACUGACAGUUUGUGGACAGUGGGGUGUUCAGAUGUCCAUAGAAGGUAUUGGUCGGUGGAUGUGGGUUUUCUGUGUACUUUUAUUUAGAUGUGGCCGUUGUCUGUGUUUGUCAGGGAAUGCGCGGGCAGGCAGGUUGUGUGGACCCAAAUGCAGUGAAACAAUAAUGCAAGGCAGGUGGCAGAGAACUCAAAAAAUGGUUUUAAUUAUGACUAACAAAAGCACAAAGUACAAACAAAAGGACUAGGGAUCAAAAGGCAAGGUUCAAACAAAACUUACUUUCAAAGCAGGGCGAGUAACACAAGGAACUGGGGGGGAACGCAGGCAUGAACGUGGACCAGUACAUUGACAAUGACGCAACAAGGAGUGACAAGAAACUGGGUCUUUAUAUACACACACGCAGACAAGGGGUAACGAGACGAGGAACAGCUGGGUAACACAGGUGGAUGCAGAUUGCAGGAUACACUGGGAGAACACACACAGGUGAAAGCAAUGGGCAAUCACAGGGACAAGUCACACUAGGAGAAAACAAACACAAAACCUAACAGUGUUAUGUAUGUUUCUGUCCAGAAAGGCUAUGGAUUGAUCUGUUUCCUCUUCAUGGGUGAAUUUGAUGCUGCCAGUGGUGUCUAUGGGGUUGAGGUGGUCCGUGAGUCGUUGUGUAUGUCCUGUUUUUAGUUUUUCCAGAAUGUCGUCUACGUAGCGUUUCCUUAGUGUGGGUCUGUAUUCAUCUGGGGCUGUUCCAUGAAGAAACCGCACAUGAUGGCAGACAGUGUGUCUACCGUGGCGAAUCCUUCCUUUUGCCUGUAGAUGGUGUUUCUGAAUUGGAAGUAUGUGGAAGUGGCUAUGAAAUGGAGAAGCUGAGUGAGGUCCUGUACUGUUAGAUUUGUGCAUUUUUGAGUGUCCUGCCUGCAAUUAGCCUGUCGUGCACAAUAUGUAUGGUGGCCUGUGUGGGUGUUUUUGUUAAGAGUGACGUAAAUUUUUCCCCACAAAAAAGAUAACUUAUAGGUCGGUGCGAAUUUUGUUUGUUUGUUUUUUUUUUUCGAUGACAUGACAUCAUUUGACUAGUAUGAGAUACACUGCUGAGCACUUUAUAGUCUGGAAAAUACAGUCAUUUAUUCAGUGGCGAAGCUCAAAACUUAAAACACUCAUAUCUCAAAUGAAAUGCUAUUUACUUGUUCACUGUCUUGACAAUAAUGGUGACAGAUGUCCUAUUCAUUUAACUGAUCAUGCUUCACUUCCAUUGACUAAUCUCUACUGCCAGCCCUUCCAGUUCAAAUGGAUUAGAUGUCAGUCACCUUUAAUAGUUAGCUAGCUAGUUAAAAGUCCCUUCCACUACCGAGUUAAAAGAAUUGUAACAUGCUUUUAUUAAAAAAAAAAUCACCUCACAUUAUUGUGGAAGAAUGGUAAGAAUUUGAGUGUUCCUACUCAUUGGUGCGUCCUGACUCCUGACCACAAGAGAGAGGUAUUAUGCAGAUAAAAAUAAUACAUAAAACUGUUUACAACAUACAAAUACACAUUCUGUAACCUUGUUUCCAUUUUUUUGCCCUGAGUGAUUUGGAAAAUUUUUAAAAAGCAGAAUUCCACAAGACUAAUGCUACUUUGCAUUCAUCUAGGUGGUGCGCAUCCAAGUUCAGAUUCAGGAGGCGCUGAUCCAGCAGUACUCCAAUCGCGCUUCGGUGAAAAAUGCCAUUUCUCAGUUGGAUUCGAAACUUGUGAACAUCACCAAGCUCUAUGGGGAAUAUGCAGACCACUUCCAACUGUCAGAGUGUA